rnacentral:rRNA from 1 species
CAGCCGCCACGGUAACACGUAGGUGGCAAGCGUUGUCCGGAAUUAUUGAGCGUAAAGCGCGCGCAGGUGGUUUAAUAAGUCUGAUGUGAAAGCCCACGGCUCAACCGUGGAGGGUCAUUGGAAACUGUUAAACUUGAGUGCAGGAGAGAAAAGUGGAAUUCCUAGUGUAGCGGUGAAAUGCGUAGAGAUUAGGAGGAACACCAGUGGCGAAGGCGGCUUUUUGGCCUGUAAUUGACACUGAGGCGCGAAAGCGUGGGGAGCAAACAGGAUUAGAUACCCGCGUAGUCCCUGUCUCUUAUAC